UACGAAGGGAGCUAGCGUUGUUCGGAAUUACUGGGCGUAAAGGGCUCGUAGGCGGCCAACUAAGUCAGACGUGAAAUCCCUCGGCUUAACCGGGGAACUGCGUCUGAUACUGGAUGGCUUGAGUUUGGGAGAGGGAUGCGGAAUUCCAGGUGUAGCGGUGAAAUGCGUAGAUAUCUGGAGGAACACCGGUGGCGAAGGCGGCAUCCUGGACCAACACUGACGCUGAGUGAGCGAAAAGCCAGGGGAGCAAACGGG
rnacentral:rRNA from 1 species